GUGUCAACGUCUCCACUGGGCAUGUCCGAUCUGGCGAUCCAAGAGGAAGAUAUCUUUCCAUCAAUAAACUCUAUUGUGAGAAUUCCUAAGGGGUAGACAUAAUUUCAGAGCGAGAGAAGUGUUGAGCGAUAAACUUUAAAGAUGUUUUCCGUGAGUGCUGUCAUAUUCGUCAAAGAUGGUGGAAGCAUAAGGUGGGGGAGAAAGUUCGAGAAAGUUUGAGAAAGUUGAAGGAACAUGUGUUUUUGUCCGAGCUUCCCAAGCUCUAUGCUGUUGGAGAACUCUGCAAGGAUCUUGCCACCUUCAGGGAAAAGCUUCAAAAGAGAGUAACAAAGAGGAAAAUCUGAAACAAAGAAGAAUCAAGAAGAUGAUAUCCUGAUGCCCGGCAAGCAAAAGCUUCUCCAAUGUUGGAAACCUUGAUCGGGAAAGACGCCUCGUUGUUCAUUCCCG